UGGGUUGUGGCUCAGUGGUAGAGCACUCGCCUAGCACAUGUGGGGCCCUGGGUUCAAUCCUCAGCACCACAU
rnacentral:tRNA from 1 species